UAUAAUAUUACGUGUGUGUGCAUGUAAUAAUAAUAAUGCCAAUAUAAGGCUAAAUCGGAAAAUGAAGUGGCCAAAUGCAGUUGAAAUGUUAUGACCACUUGCUGUUGUUGUUGUUGUUGUUGUGUGCCUUCAAGUCAUCUCUGACUUAUGGCGACCCUUGAGCAAGUCACUCUCUCUCAGCCGCAGGGGAAGGGAAAGCAGGGUAUCCAGAGGUACUCCAUUCCCAGGACACGUCCCCCAUUUCUGUCCAGGAGGAAUUCCAAGAUGUCCUCCCUUUUGAGCCUCACUAAGGCUCACUGGGCUAACUUCGCAUUGAGAGGUUAAAAUGCAUUUAAAGCAUCCCACAAAUAAAGCGGAAAUGGAGAGUAAUUGCAUGAAUAAUUAUCAUACAGAAUUGCUCAAAUAAUGUGAGAUCAGAAAUGCAUUGUCUCUGAAAUCUCAAAAGUAAAAAGAUGCACCUUAAUGCCUCUUUGUGACCACUUUAAUGGCAGGUUUUGUCUGACGUCGUGUGAAAUCAUUUCUCAUAAUUACGAGGUUUUUCUGGGAUAUUCAUGGGAUAAACUCUUGAUCUCCUUCGUGUGAGAAACUCUAAUGAAGCAUGAAUUUAUAUUUAUAUGAGUGCUUGCAGCUUUAAUUUUGUUAAACCCCCAUGUUUUUUUCUUGAAUGUGCUCCAUUUUGCAGUGCCUUGUCCUUCUUUGUGGUCAAGAUAUCUGGUCAGCAUGAGGGAAUGACAAACCUUCUCUGAAGCAACCUUGCCAAGAAAUCCCAUGGUUUUAUAGUUUUCAAGCUUCUGUAACAUGGUUUUAAAGAUAUUCUUCCCUUUCUGCUGCUCCUCAGCUGAAAGUGGCCUCCUGGUUGGACGAUGGAUUCCAGAACAGAAUUCUGCUGUUAUCCUGGCUGUGAUCCACUUCCCUUUCAUUCCCGGUCAAGUGAAGCAAUAUCUCUCCGAAUUGCAGCACAAGACACAGGUCAAGUUGGGUGUGUUGGGCUCUUGGACAAAUAGCAAGCAAGCCAAAGAAGAGAGUUUAGAAAGGUUCCUUGAAGACCUUGGAGCAAUCUUCUCACAUGACCCUUGGGUCCAGCUCCACAAGGAGAAAGGGAGCAAGUUUUGGAGAUGUUCGGCCACUCGGAAAAUGUCCAGCAGCAAUGAAGAAGAUGAAAUUGUCUUGAUUUAUUAUGACCAGCGCAAAGUGAUGCUUUCACAGCUUCACCCCCCUCAAGGCCCAAUUGCUUCUAAUGAUCAGAAGGCAGUAGAUUCUUCCAGACUAGCUGCUGUAUUUGACACAGUUGCAAAGAGCAAGUUACUGUUUAUGAGAGAUCGGUAUGAUGAGGGGCCCAUCAAACUUACCCACUGGCAAUCAGAAGGUGUAGAAGCCAGUAUUAUCGUGGAACUCUUGAAACAAGCCUCUGUACCCACAUGUGUGCUGAUAACAUUCCUACUUUCACUUGUCUCUGGAAUCUGUAAAAGCAGAGCCUUGACUGUCUGGCCUCUGUCUUUCAUCUGGAGCAAACUUUCAACAUGUGAGCAACUGGGGCACCGGCUGCAACACCUCCAAAUCAUCAGCAGCAAGAGAAAAGCUCCAAACCAGACCCAGCUGAUGAAAAAAGCAAACAUCUUUAUUUCUGUCCUCAUUGAUGUGACUCUGGGGAUACUGCUGAUGUCAUGGCUGUAUCAGAAGAAUCGUAUUGGACAUCUUGCCAAUGACCUUGUUCCAAUGGCUGAUCAUGUUGCCCAGCAGCUGCAGAACCUCCUACAGUGGCUAAUGGGUGUACCAGCUGGUUUAAAAAUGAACAGAGCUUUGGACCAAGUCUUGGGCCGAUUCUUCCUCUACCACAUCCACCUCUGGAUUAGUUAUAUCCACCUGAUGUCUCCCUUCAUUGAGAUGAUCUUGUGGUAUGUUGGCUUAUCAGCUUGCCUUGGCCUCACAGUGGCCCUUUCCAUCCUCUCGGACAUCAUUGCACUCCUGACCUUCCACAUCUACUGCUUUUAUGUCUAUGGAGCAAGGCUCUACUGCCUCAAGAUCUAUGGCUUGUCAUCACUGUGGCGCUUGUUCCGUGGGAAGAAGUGGAAUGUCUUGAGACAACGGGUGGACUCCUGUUCCUAUGACUUGGACCAGUUAUAUAUUGGCACGUUGUUAUUUACCAUCUUGCUGUUUCUUCUGCCAACAACUGCACUGUAUUAUUUAGUCUUUACUUUGCUCCGUCUGCUAGUGGUGAUUGUACAAGGCUUGAUCCAUCUGCUGGUGGACCUCAUCAACUCAUUGCCCUUUUACUCAGUGAUUCUUCGGCUCUGCCGAUCCUACAGACUCGCAUCUGGUGUGAAGUUCCGAGUGCUUGAGCAAGAGUCUGGGAAACCCCUUCGACUUUUAAUGCAGAUAAACCCUCUCACAUAUAGCCGUGUGGUGCAAAUAUACAGGCUCCCAACUUAUAGUUGCUACCCCAAGGAUUCCUGGGCCUCCCUGUGCAAGAAGCUGUUUGUUGGAGAGUUAAUCUACCCUUGGAAGCACAAAGGAGAAAAACAGGACUGAGAUGGACUCAAAAGAGUCAGUUGAAAAGAACAUUGCAAAAAAGAACUAUUUUCCAGGCCAAAGACACCUUGGAACCAGCAGUUGCCAAAUGGCACUCAAAUAGACACCUCUUUUGCCAAGAGCUGUGUAAUAUAUGGGACCAGGGGGUGGACCUUUGCAUCAGCUUCUGUAGGUGGCACCUUGAUCCGGCACCUUGAUCUCGGUCCAAUACAUUGCACCAGUUCUGUAAUGCAGUUCAAGGAUUGCGUGACACAGCAGAAAAACUAUCCAGGUUCCCAAAGAUCUGACGGCAGACCAUUUUUCAAAGAGGGCACUGCUGCCAAAUAGCCACUGGAACAUCUCUGGUGACACUUUUGCACAGGAAAGGGUCUGCCCAACAGAGCAAUUCAGUGUUAAUAAAUUUUCCAUCAGAUUGCUUUGUAUUUGGCUGCUGAACUGCCAAGAGCAGGGAACAGGUUCACAUGCGAAUGAGGCUGGAGUUUAUUUUAAAACCCUUCUCUUCUCGUUCCCCUUGAAGCCCAGACUUCCUUCCCAAGCCAGCCUUGCUUUCAAAUGCUGCCUGGCUUCUAACAGUUCACUGAACAGCACCAGCCCUGCAGGCAAAAUGGACUAGAGCUCAUUGUCCUCUGUUUUGUUUUUUGGUUUCAAAUAAUGGCAGCCAGUAAAGCAGUGUCUACCCAAUUUUUAGCUAGAUGGUCUGUAAAAAAAGAGAGGCACACAAAUAUAUGCUCAUUCAUGGAAACGGCAAAAAGUGGCUCAGUACAAGAAUUCCUAAGUCACUAGCUAUAUGGCUUGAGAACAGUUUCUACCGGUAAGCAACUUUAACUGUGAGCCACCUUGGCUCCCACUUCAGGAGAAAGGCAAUCCAACCCUCCAUAGCUUGAAAAACAUUCUAAAAAGAUACAUGUCCCUAAAAGCAAAGCUUGAUUUUGCCAUUUUAUAUAACGGACACCAUUUCAUGACACCACUCCAUUGAAUGGGGCUUAAGCAUUUUGGUAUCUAUGGGGGGUAAUGGUCCUGGAACCAAACCCAAGCAGAUACCAAGGGCCCGCACUGUAUACAGUUCAGGCCUUAGCAUUUCCAGUGAGAAAAUGAACUGGGAACGAUUUGGGCCUGGAAUGGAGCCGAACUGGAUGAGCCAGUGGCAACUUCACAUAUCCAUCCAAUAAUUAUCCAGACAGAUCCUACUUGCCCUUGUACAGAUUCUGUUCAAACAGCGUCAAUAACGGGCAUAGAGAUUUUUGCCGAGAAUAUUCCAGCAUCCCCGAAGAGAGGAGAUUUCAAGGGAGGGCAUGAGAAGAAACCCUUUGAAAGCUCACAGCAAGUCUGAUCAAAGACUUCCUCUGUCUCUGUUAUCAGCUCUCAAAAGCAAUCUCUCACUCUCAUUUUAAAAUAUAUAUAUAUAUUUUUGGGGGGGAUGGCCUGCUUUAAGUUGGAUGACCUAAACCACAACAUCUCCCCCCCCCCCCACUUUCCCUACGAUGUUUUCCCAGGCUUUCCCUGGUUUGCUUUGUGCUCUUGCCUCCCUUGCACUAUUCUAUCAGUGAGAGUAUUAUCUGCUGUGCUCUUUUAAUCUACAGCCCCAGAGCUACCUCCAGAAGGCUAUUGGCAGGAGGGGAAAGACAGGCAGAAAGGAGGGGGGAACGGGGCACAAGAAGCUUAUCAUCCCAGCUGGAGAGCAGCUGUUUAAUUUUCCUUUGCAAUGAGACGACGUUAAGACCAAUAUCUUUGGACCAUUGCACUAUCUUGAGCAAAGACAGGUGCUGUUCCUUACCUCCCUGAACACUUAUUUCUAAGCAGUCCCCAUUUUGUUUGGGGGUUCUUUCCAUGGAUGGAGACACCAUCCACCCCCACUCUAAGAUUAGAGAUGGGUGAGGAAAUUUUUGGUAACAGAAAUCACAUAUUUCUUCCUGUAUCGGGUAGCUUGACGUUUGGGGGUGGUUUCUUGGUUUGCUUUGAAAAAGACUGAGUGCAAGAGAAAAUAUGUCUGACAGAUUUCACCAUCCAGUCCUGGCUUUGAGAGUUUGGCUCUUAAAAAUCUGGCUUUGAAUCCCAGUGAAUUCAACCAUAUUAAUACUGAAUUAAGGUUGUGUGUCUGUGCCUGUCAUUGCAUUAUCUUGGGCAUAGACAGGUGCUGUUCCUACCUCCCUGGACACCCGAUAUAUUUCGACAGUGGAGCACACUCCCUCAGAGAGUGAUGGAGAUUCCUUCUUUGGAGGUCUUUAAACAGAGGCUGGAUGGCCAUUUGUCAGGGAUGCUUCGGUCAUGAGUUCCUGUAUGGCAAAAUGGGGUUGGACUGGAUGGCCCUUGGGGUCUCUUCUGACUAUUCUUAGAUUCUAUAAGCAUCCUUCAACAAUCAGAUGAAACCACUCUUUGGAAGCAAAAGUUUGGAGAAGUUAAUGUUUGGAUUGCGGCUCCUGAAAUGGCCAAUGGUCAUGCUGGCUGGGGAAAGUGUAGGAAUUGUAGUAACAAAAUAAAACAAACUUUUCCAAACUCUUGAUCAGGCUGUUCAUCUUUGAAUGACAGCAGAAAGAAAAUCGUUCAGGCCCAAGGAGAAUAGCCUCUCGAGGAAGGAGCAUUACCAAGAGCUCCCUUCACUGCCUUG